rnacentral:misc_RNA from 1 species
CAACCCUCAAGCCCCCGGGCUUGGUGUUGGGGAUCGGCACAAGGCGCUGGCACCUCCGGGAGCCGCGCGCGCCCGCCGUCCCCCAAAUCCAGUGGCGGUUCGCGCCGUGUGUACCUCAGCGUAGUAGCAACGACUCGCUUCGGGACCCUCCUGCGAACCACGCCGUAAAAACCCCGACUUUUUUUCU